rnacentral:rRNA from 1 species
AUUGAACGCUGGCGGCAUGCUUUACACAUGCAAGUCGAACGGUAACAGGCCUUCGGGGCGCUGACGAGUGGCGAACGGGUGAGUAAUGCAUCGGAACGUGCCCAGUCGUGGGGGAUAACGCAGCGAAAGCUGCGCUAAUACCGCAUACGAUCUGUGGAUGAAAGCGGGGGACCGUAAGGCCUCGCGCGAUUGGAGCGGCCGAUGUCAGAUUAGGUAGUUGGUGGGGUAAAGGCUCACCAAGCCAACGAUCUGUAGCUGGUCUGAGAGGACGACCAGCCACACUGGGACUGAGACACGGCCCCAGACUCCUACGGGAGGCAGCAGUGGGGAAUUUUGGACAAUGGGGGCAACCCCUGAUCCAGCAAUGCCGCGUGCAGGAAGAAGGCCUUCGGUUGUAAACNGCUUUGUACGGAACGAAAAGGCUCUGGCUAAUACCUGGGCACAUGACGGCACCGUAAGAAUAAGCACCGGCUAACUACGUGCCAGCAGCCGCGGUAAUACGUGGGGUGCAAGCGUUAAUCGGAAUUACUGGGCGUAAAGCGUGCGCAGGCGGUGCUGUAAGACAGGCGUAAAAUCCCCGGGCUCAACCUGGGAAGUUGCGCUUGUGACUGCAGUGCUGGAGUGCGGCAGAGGGGGAUGGAAUUCCGCGUGUAGCAGUGAAAUGCGUAGAUAUGCGGAGGAACACGAUGGCGAAGGCAAUCCCCUGGGCCUGCACUGACGCUCAUGCACGAAAAGCGUGGGGGAGCAAAACA